GUGAUAAUUGAAUUUAACGGCCGCGGUAGCAUGACCGUGCUAAGGUAGCAUAAUCAUUUGUCCUUUAAUUGAGGACUGGUAUAAACGGCUGCACAAGAAAUUGUCUGUCUCUACUAUAAAAUUUGAAAUUCACAUUUAAGUGAAAAGGCUUAAAUGGAAUAGGGGGACGAUAAGACCCUAUAAAUCUUUACAACUAGGGCUUUAGUUAUUAGAAAGUAGUUAUGGAUCUAAAUCUAAGGUUUAAAUUGUUUUGUUGGGGCGACAGAAGUAUAAUAAGUAACUGCUUUGGUUUUCAUAUUAAUUGUUUUUAUUAUGGUUAGUUUAAAAGAUCCUCUUUUGGAGAUCACAGACUAAGUUACUUUAGGGAUAACAGCGUAAUCUUUCUUGAGAGUUCAUAUCGAAAGAAGGGUUUGCGACCUCGAUGUUGAAUUAAAGAACCUUUAUGGUGCAGCCGC
rnacentral:rRNA from 1 species